rnacentral:snRNA from 1 species
GGAUGUGAGGGCAAUCUGGCUGCAACAUCUGAUGCCUGUUUGAUCGACAGGUUGAUUCGGCUGAUCUGGCUGGCCUGGCGGGGGUCCUCUUCCUCCCUCACUGCAUGUGUGUCCCUCCCGAAGCUGUGUGCUCAGUUGAGGUAUAGGAGUAUAGGUAUAGGAGUAGCAGCGCUUCCCUGCUAGAACCUCCAAACAAGCUCUCAAAAAUGAAAAACUCUGCCAAGAAUUAACUGAAACAGAUCAGUUCAUACAGCAACU